AGCUUUGCACAGUGGCAGUAUCAUAGCCAAUGAGGCUUAUUCAAGGCACGAUUAUUGCUAAUUGAAAAUUUUCCCAAUACCCCGCCAUGACGACUUGCAAUAUAGUCAGCACUGGCAAUUUUUGAUAGUCUCUGAAGAAA
rnacentral:snRNA from 1 species